rnacentral:rRNA from 1 species
GUGUGAAACUCAAAGGAAUUGACGGGGGCCCGCACAAUCGGUGGAGUAUGUGGUUUAAUUCGAUGCAACGCGAAGUACCUUACCAGGGCUUGACAUGUCCGGAAUCCCGGUGAAAGCUGGGAGUGCCUUCGGGAGCCGGAACACAGAUGGUGCAUGUCUGUCGUCAGCUCGUGUCGUGAGAUGUUGGGUUAAGUCCCGCUACGAGCGCAACCCUCGUCUUUAGUUGCCAGCAUUAAGUUGGGCACUCUAGAGAGACUGCCGGUGACAAACCGGAGGAAGGUGGGGAUGACGUCAAGUCAGCAUGCCCCUUACGCUCUGGUCGACACGCGUACUACAAUGGUCGGGACAGAGGGCAGCGAACCUGCGAAGGCAAGCUAAUCCCAGCAAACUCGGCCUCAGUUCAGAUCGCAGGCUGCAACUCGCCUGCGUGAAGGAGGAAUCGCUAGUAAUCGCCGGUCAGAAUACGCCGCGAAUCCGUUCCCGGGCAUGUACACACCGCCCGUCACACCGUGGAAGCUGNCCACGCCCGA